rnacentral:misc_RNA from 1 species
CAAGUUCUCAAAAACAUUCGAACUUUUUUCAAACGAACAUAAAACGAAUAAGUGAUAUCAAAGUUAAAAAUCGACUUUGAACAAACCUGAAUUUAUUACACAUCUUCAGAGACUGCGCAGUUUUUUUUUGUUUCGUGUGACGUGUGACGCGAGCGCCACCACACUGUGUAUAUACAUACAUGACAUUAGUGAACGUUUGAUUCAGAUUGAGUAGAAAAAUUGAAGGAAUUCGGUGUAAUGGGCGGAUGACGAAUCCUUCUGGAUCGAACCGUGUUAAACCUCGUCGUCCUACCGAGUGAUACAUCGUUGUUCUUCUUGUAAACGUAAAGAAAAAAGAGAAAGAGUCAGGAGUGAUAGGAAGCUCAUGAUUUCAUUAGACUGCAACUUCUAAGUGGUAUUAAUGCCUUUUCACCUGAGAAGAAACUCUGUUCCGGAAAUGGAGGAAUAUUCCGCAACCUCUGACGUCUCCGUUGUCGAUGUCUAUGACAUUGCGUCGGAGAUUGGCAAAGAGUGUGAAAAGCUGAUAGAUUUGUUUGGCGCGGAUGCUGUAACUGGCCUCAUGCCCAAAGUAAUCAAUGCUCUUGAAUUACUGGAAAAUCUUGCAACUAAGAAUGAGAGAGAAAUUACGGCCGUACAGGAAUUAACCGCCAAGAUUUCACAACUGGAGACGGAUAAAAUUGGGAAAGCCGAAGAUAGACAGAGGUUUGAGAAGGAAGUAGAACAAACAGAAGAGCAUUGGAGACAAGAAUCUCGAGAUCUGGUUGGGAUGGUGACAAGAUUACAGGAUGAGAAUCGUCGUUUGUCGGCGGCAUUGCAGGAGUCACGUAGCGAUACUCAGGACAGCGGUAAACAAACUUUUACAGCAGCUAGUCAAGAAGUCGACAUCGCAGUGUUGCAACAUCUGAGGAGCAUGAUAGACAAGCAAAGGGAUCAAAUUCGAGCGAGAGAUCGAGAGUUAUCGCAGAAGAACAUGGAAAUCGAAAAUUUGACCGUACAAGUCGAAAAAUUGUCAUCUCUCGGUCGUGAAUUGAAACGAAAGCAACGUCAAGCUCAGAUGCAGUCACGAGGUCUCGUCGAGGAGAGGGCAGAUUUUCUUGCUCAAUUACAGGAUCAAAAUCGCGAACUUAUUAAUUUAAGAGCCCGACUUGGUCUCGCCCGCAAGGAGAAUGAAGAUCUGACAAAAUCUCACUGCUACCCGGAUCUUACGAACAAAGUAGUCUACGAUCUCGACGAUCCGGACAGGCCUAGAUUUACAACCGCUGAGCUUAAAGAGAUUUUGCACGAGAGAAACGAGUUGAAAGCUCGAGUUUCCGACCUCGAGGAUGAGCUCGAACUCUACCGACCCAAACCUGAAACGCAGUGGGAUACCAGCGAUCCUGACUAACGUUUACGCACCUGAGGACGAGAGGGAUUUACCGGUUCAGGGUCCAUUGCCGGAUGAACCUGAUGACGCGCCGUGGAAAAAAUCGUCAGAGUCUGGAAUACGAAAAUUCUUCCGAAAAAUAUUUUCUGAG